rnacentral:rRNA from 1 species
GACGAACGCUGGCGGCGUGCCUAAUACAUGCAAGUCGAGCGGACAGAUGGGAGCUUGCUCCCUGAUGUUAGCGGCGGACGGGUGAGUAACACGUGGGUAACCUGCCUGUAAGACUGGGAUAACUCCGGGAAACCGGGGCUAAUACCGGAUGGUUGUUUGAACCGCAUGGUUCGAACAUAAAAGGUGGCUUCGGCUACCACUUACAGAUGGACCCGCGGCGCAUUAGCUAGUUGGUGAGGUAAUGGCUCACCAAGGCGACGAUGCGUAGCCGAACCUGAGAGGGUGAUCGGCCACACUGGGACUGAGACACGGCCCAGACUCCUACGGGAGGCAGCAGUAGGGAAUCUUCCGCAAUGGACGAAAGUCUGACGGAGCAACGCCGCGUGAGUGAUGAAGGUUUUCGGAUUGUAAAGCUCUGUUGUUAGGGAAGAACAAGUACCGUUCGAAUAGGGGGCGACCUUGACGGUACCUAACCAGAAAGCCACGGCUAACUACGUGC